rnacentral:misc_RNA from 1 species
CGAGCGUCAUUACAACCCUCAAGCCUGGCUUGGUCUUGGGCUUCGCCACUUACCUGGCGGGCCUUAAAAUUAGUGGCGGUGCUGUCGAGGCCCUGAGCGUAGUAAAUAUCCUCGCUUUAGGGACUCGGUGGUUACUGGCCAUAAACCCCCAACUUUCUAAGUUUGACCUCGGAUCAGGUAGGGAUACCCGCUGAACUUAA